CAUGACGUUUCCAUAGAGGGCGACGGAACGCGCCAUCAAUAUAAUAAAGGUCGAGAAUAAACAAACAUCAUGCGCCUGUAUUUAAUACGCCAGGAGUUCGAAAAACUACUUUCUGUCUUCAGCCUAUCGAAGCUUCAACUUCACGUUGUAAUUUGUAAGAAAACCUGAUUAAAUGAAAUGACAUUCUUUGGCAUUAAAAAGACAGCGCUACAAGAGGCUCGUGAACUGAUGAAAGUCAAUGCGGAGGGGCAGAUAUGUUGUCGAGGUUCAUCCGCAUUACGUUCAAAACGUCGUUUCUUCGAAAGUUUUGAGGAACUGAAAUCUGCACUGCCGCUUUUUUUUCAGGAAAACAGUGCCAAGGUAUUAGGAUAGGACACCGUGUUAUACUUAGGUUCGAUUUAUUUUCUGAAAAAUUAUCUACCCAUUUGAAAAAAAAAUGAACUACACAGAAUUCAUAGUUUGAAUUGAACUGAAAACAAGAUUAUUAGAUUUAUAGAAAUUUUCUUCGGGCCGUCGCCGCGUUCAGCAGGAGCGAAAUUCUCUGAUGUCUAAUAAUCUCUGGCGCGUGAGCGUUCCUAGUAAAGAGUAAUGUGAAAUAUGUUUUGUGGUCUAAGCAUCGUAAUUACCAUUUUAAGUUGCACUAAUGCUACAUCCAGUGGUAAAUGGAUGUUCAAUGGCGGAACGUGCAAGGACGGACGAAGAAUAGAUUCUGUUUCCUGUAUUUGGCAUGUAUCUUGCUAAUGAUAAAUAUAUUUUCCACAGCUCACGACCACAGGUGCAGCCUUUCUCAACCUGUAAAAGCUUCUACCAAAUGCUCAGCGUACAGAUAUCAGUACGACAGAAAAACUAGCUUGUGCCAGCCAGUCUGCUGCAGCUCCGCCCCAUUUUCAACGUUCAUGGAAUGCAGCCAGACCUGUAGAAGCAUGGAAGUCUGCUUCAUGCAUCGCCCGCUUUCUAGUUGCGCAUCUCGGCUGGUAACUGUUUACUAUUUUAACACUGCAAAAGAUGCAUGUUUCUCAGAGCCCGGCUGCACGUACAAAGGAAACAACUUCCCCAACUUGGAAGAAUGCCAGCGCACAUGCCGGGCAAAGACAAAAGGCUCUUCACAAGCCGUGCCUGGUGUACCCAGUAAUAGCUUCCCUUCCCACCCGAGUAAUGGAGGGGCAUCAUCGUUUCCACAACAGAUACCGCAGUUUCCCGGCGAGUAGACCAAUGCCCCGACAGCAAGGUGGAGGAAGGCCGUCCUCCAAUCAGCAGCAAGGAAUGCAAGGGCCAACGACUCCAGGAACAGUGCCAUCACCUGGGCAACAACUAUGGAUCCCCAAUCCACAAGCGCCAAGUUCCAAUCCGCGACCUGGUGCCCCGGGCAGUAACUUCCCCUCUCAGUCGAAUACUGGAGGGGCGCCAUCUUUUCCACAGCAGAUACCACAGAUACCAAAGUUACCAGUAAGUAGACCAAUGAGACCGCAGCAGAACGGCAGAGCACCGUCCUCCAAUCACCAGCAAGGAACACUGGGGCAAAUAAGUUCGGGAACGAUAUUAUCGCCUGCGCAUCAGCCGUCUAGCCCCAUUCCGGCGGGGCCAACUAGUUCACAUCAGCGGCCACAUCACUCGUGGAAUGGUCUAUCUCCAUCAGUGAAUACACCGACGCAAGGCGCCGGGAACGGACUUCAGUUUCCCCAGCAAUCUGAACGGCAGCCGUGGAAUGGUCAGGGACCGUCGCAGCAAUCAUCACUAAACCAGUCCAAUCACGGAAUCCAGCAAAAUAUAUCCCGACACCAGCACAGCACUGGCACACCCUCAGUGUCCAGUCAGAUGCCAGGAGAACAAUCAUGGAGGGGCCAUAUGGGGUCACAAAUUCCUCAGCGAAACGCGCAGCAGCAAUUUAGUAAUGGUGUCCUAUCCCUAAAUAGUCCCAAAUAACGCUGCAGCAUUCCGGUUCUGGAGGGAUAUCAACGUCACCGCAGCCGCAGUGGGGAAAUCCUGCAGGGUCGUCCUACAAUCCGCAGACUGGUCAGCCACAGCAAUGGAACAGCAGAAAUAUGGCACAAAAUUCACAGCAGUACCCAAGUGCUCAAAUGACUAUUUCAAAUCCACAACCGGGGCAGCAAUUAUCGUGGAGAAUCGGAGCCCCUGCAGGGGUCCAGCAGCUGAGCACGGUAGCACAGCAAGCUAACAGAGCUGUUCAAAUGCUUCCAAAUCCGAGCACGCUCCCCAAUCCGGGCAUGCUUCCAAAUCCGAGUGGCGAAGUGGUAAGGGUAGGUUCACAAGGUUUACAACAGGGGCAAGCAUACUCGUGGAGAGGUGGAAUUUCUCCAGGGGGUCACCAGAAUACUGCGGCGCAACAUGUUGAAGGAGCAAGUUUACCUAUUCCAAACCACCCUACUCAACCAUCAUUGAAUGGCCAGCCGCCAUCACAGCCGUGGAACACGCGAGUGACAUCCUCAAGCUCUGAACCAAAUGAUCAGCAACAGCAAAAUACUGGGUUGCCAUCACAGUUCCCAACGUCAUUUCCGACUCCGAAACCAAUUGCAGUGACCAAGCAGUCGAUACAUCACCGAGUGGUAACCAUUCAACAACAAACGGUGCAGCGUAGUUUGCGUCGCCAAAGUGUCUCCACAUCAAGCCGGAGAUAAACAGCACAAAUGGGAUCGCUGGCUGCGAGCAUCACAUCAAGACAUCGACUGCCUGCGGAAUUUGUAUCAAUGGGUCUCGUCAUAUGUGAAAGAGAGGUGUUAUUUGGAUUGGCUUGACAUAUUUGUGAUAGCAUUGCAACCUGCGAAUUUACAUUGGUCUUUAUGCAGUGACAGUGCUUUCAAAAUAAAAAGAAUUUUGC